rnacentral:rRNA from 1 species
GGCAAGUCUGGUGCCAGCAGCGAGGAAAUACCAGCUCCAAUAGCGUAUAUUAAAGUUGUUGCAGUUAAAAAGCUCGUAGUUGAAUUUCGGGGUUAGUAGGUUGGUCAUGCCUCCGGUAUGUACUGAUCUCACUGAUUCCUCCUUCCUUAUGAACCGUAAUGCCAUUAAUUUGGUGUUGCGGGGAAUUUGGACUGUUACUUUGAAAAAAUUAGAGUGUUUAAAGCAGGC